rnacentral:lncRNA from 1 species
CCUGCUAAUAUGUGAAUUAUUUUAAACACUGCAUCUAGAAAAGACUUCUUUCACUUUUUAGCUCCAAGAAUAUAGUGGGCCUAUAUAAAUAGCAAGAGUGACCCCUGACAUCACAAUGCUCUCUUCUUAGCUUUAGAGGGGUCACAACAGUUGCCACUUAGAAAGUCUGCCUAAAAAGAAAUAGGUCAUGGCAUGAGGAGAACUCAAAAGCACAGAACAGUAAAGAGACAUCCAAAUUUCAUCAAUGCAAGGAAUAAAGAUGCUACAAACAUUUCUAACUUUACAUAGGAUUUACUCUUUAGUAGAUGACUUUGACAACCAAGGACAUAGAAGAUGAUACUAUUCUAAGCCAGUACUAAUUAAGGCUGACAUUUCUUCAAGC